CUGGUGUCUGCUGCUUUGACUGCAAGUCUGAUUGUCAUAGCCUUUCUCAUUUAUUUCAUCAAGACAAAAACUUGUGAUUUCUGCAACGAUGCUGCAGCAGCCAGUGGUCAUCAGGAAAGACCACAGACAACUGAGGACUCGUUGGUUUAUUCUGCACCGACCUUCAACAAGAACAAAGCUGAGAGAAGAAAUGCAAAAACAGCAGAAGAAGAGACGAUCUACACCGAUGUCAACACUUCUGCAAGAAAUCAACAACUCGCUGAAUUUGCAAAUUUGUGGUAAUAUUCCUUUUAUUCUCGGACAGAGUGUGAGAAAGCUUCGGCUGCACUGGGGCUUCUGUUUCAGUUCUGAAAACAUAAUAGAAUAUUUAAUAUCGGAUGAUCUUUAUGCUAUUUCAUUUUAACAUUUCUGAGUCCAGACCUCAGUCCAACUGAGAUUUUUUGACAGAACUUGAAAAGAGCGAUUCACUCGAUUCCAGUGUAACCUGACAAAGUUUGAGCAGUUUUUGCAAAGAAGAAAGCAACAAAAUUACAGUGUCCAGAUGUGUGCGACUGAUUGAGAGCUACCCAGACAUGCUUUGUGCUAGAAUUGUUGUCAAAGGUGCAUCUGCUAAAUACUGG